GUGUGUGUGUGUGUGUGUGUGUUUGUAAACACCGCCAAUUGAACCAGACACCAAGAAUACACACCAAUCAACUGAUCACCUGGAAUUCAAAUGGACACCCGAACACAGGUGUUCUGUUGAAAUAACGUCAUUUUCGUGUUGCUCUCAUUCAUUUCCAAUCGUAUCAUCUCGGGUAUUUCCGUCAUAGGUCGGAAAUACAUUUUGCGCUUGUCGGAAAUGAUCCAGAAAUUUCGAUUGAUUAAAUUUCAUCAGAAAAAAUAAAAAAUAUAUGAGUGUUAAUUUGGAGCCAAUUUCCUGAUUUCAUUUACACAAUGUGUGUGUAAUAUUCUACUGCAAUUCCCUUCUUUACACAGAAAAAUUUGCGCAUGCGUAAACGGAAUAUCGGAAGUAAAUGUUUAACGACAAAAGUGAUACACGCUGUGACUUAUGAAUGACCUCGUGGAUAUAUUUUCUGAUGUCACCGUGAUUAUUAAGGUACAAGCAGAAAUGGUGGACGACAUCAUUGGUCAAAGGAUGAGAAAAAUUCCAUUGAGCGCCAGUUUUCUGAAUAUUUCAAAUCUGGACAUACCGGUACACCUGGUCGAUUAGCAUGCUUAAAUGCAAUUGCAAAAGAACCAAUACUCUCAAAACGUGACUGGUCUAAGAUAAAGCAUACUGUUAGAAAUAUGAUCAUUUCACAAAAAAGGAAACAAUACAAGGCUUAAAUAUUUCAUAUCUUAUUUCAUUAUUGUAUGUUAAAAUUAAAUUAGACAUGUGAAAAAGAGGACAUUAUUCCUUGUCUCCUACAUUUCUUAGCCUGCAUACAUAUUUGUUUGGUUGUUUAUAUAUUUGUUUGUUUGUUUGUUUUUGGUUACGAUUUAGUGUAUUUAUCUGCAAUGUGUAAUAUGAUCAAACAGUAAAACUUAAAAUUCUACAUGAGUUCUUAUUGGCUAAUUGCAAUCCAGUGAAACCAAUGAAAAGAAAGUUAUACAUGUAUAAUGAUCUUAAUGCUGAAACUGAACUUUGAAAAAUUAACAUAUCUAUUGUUUAUUUAUCACCUGUUUUCAGAUUCAAUGCAUAUAGCUAUUAAUUAAAGUCUGAUAAUUUCAUCUAGCCUAUAGAUUGUAUUUUGUAAUUAAUAUUGCAUGAAAAAUUCAUACUAGAACUUAAAGCAUGAAAAUAAAGUUUAUCUUAGUGAUUAUGUCAUUCUUUUCUUGUCUAGGCCCUGUACAUAUUUUUGUUUUUCUAAUAAAUGAACAUAGAAUUUAUGUACAUGUAUCUCUUUUGAUAGAUCAUAACAAUAUGAAUAUUUUAUCUACAUGUAGAUUCUGAUAUGAAAUUGAUAUUCAGAUUUAUAAUUACUAAAAUAUUAACAUGAAAAUGAUCUUGCACAAGUACGUACUCUAGGUUUUUGUUGUUGUUUUUUAUCUGCAUGGUCAUUGUUGAU